CGUCUUCAGGGCAGGGUGAGCGCUCAUAUGGGCGCAAUUCCCGAUCGGCGGUAAAGUCCGCAAGCUGUAUACAGCAUGAUCCGGUGCGAUUCCGGGACCGACAGUAUAGUCUGGAUGGAAGAGGAC
rnacentral:ncRNA from 1 species